GACGAACGCUGGCGGCGUGCUUAACACAUGCAAGUCGAACGGAAAGGCCCUGCUUUUGUGGGGUGCUCGAGUGGCGAACGGGUGAGUAACACGUGAGUAACCUGCCCUUGACUUUGGGAUAACUUCAGGAAACUGGGGCUAAUACCGGAUAGGAGCUCCUGCUGCAUGGUGGGGGUUGGAAAGUUUCGGCGGUUGGGGAUGGACUCGCGGCUUAUCAGCUUGUUGGUGGGGUAGUGGCUCACCAAGGCUUUGACGGGUAGCCGGCCCGAGAGGGUGACCGGCCACAUUGGGACUGAGAUACGGCCCAGACUCCUACGGGAGGCAGCAGUGGGGAAUAUUGCACAAUGGGCGGAAGCCUGAUGCAGCAACGCCGCGUGCGGGAUGACGGCCUUCGGGUUGUAAACCGCUUUCGCCUGUGACGAAGCGUGAGUGACGGUAAUGGGUAAAGAAGCACCGGCUAACUACGUG
rnacentral:rRNA from 1 species